rnacentral:rRNA from 1 species
UUGCACGCUGGCGGAAUGCUUUACACAUGCCAGUCGAGCGGCAGCACGGGGGCAACCCUGGUGGCGAGCGGCGAACGGGUGAGUAACACAUCGGAACAUGCCCAGUCGUGGGGGAUAACACUUCGAAAGAAGUGCUAAUACCGCAUACGUCCUGAGGGAGAAAGCGGGGGAUCGCAAGACCUCGCGCGAUUGGAGUGGCCGAUGUCAGAUUAGCUAGUUGGUGGGGUAAAGGCCUACCAAGGCAACGAUCUGUAGCUGGUCUGAGAGGAUGAUCAGCCACACUGGGACUGAGACAAGGCCCAGACUCCUACGGGAGGCAGCAGUGGGGAAUUUUGGACAAUGGGGGCAACCCUGAUCCAGCCAUUCCGCGUGAGUGAAGAAGGCCUUCGGGUUGGAAAGCUCUUUCGGCAGGAACGAAACGGUGAGCUCUAACAUAGCUAGCUAAUGACGGUACCUGAAGAAGAAGCACCGGCUAACUACGUG